rnacentral:rRNA from 1 species
UACGUAGGGUCCGAGCGUUUGUCCGGAAUUACUGGGCGUAAAGAGCUCGUAGGUGGUUUGUCGCGUUGUUCGUGAAAACUCACAGCUCAACUGUGGGCGUGCGGGCGAUACGGGCAGACUUGAGUACUGCAGGGGAGACUGGAAUUCCUGGUGUAGCGGUGGAAUGCGCAGAGUAUCAGGAGGAACACCGGUGGCGAAGGCGGUUCUCUGGGCAUGUCCUGACGGCUGAGGAAGCGAAAGUGUCGGGGAGCGAACAGG